UUAAGCGACUAAGCGUACACGGUGGAUGCCCUGGCAGUCAGAGGCGAUGAAGGACGUGCUAAUCUGCGAUAAGCGUCGGUGAGGUGAUAUGAACCGUUAUAACCGGCGAUUUCCGAAUGGGGAAACCCAGUGUGUUUCGACACACUAUCAUUAACUGAAUCCAUAGGUUAAUGAGGCGAACCGGGGGAACUGAAACAUCUAAGUACCCCGAGGAAAAGAAAUCAACCGAGAUUCCCCCAGUAGCGGCGAGCGAACGGGGAGGAGCCCAGAGCCUGAAUCAGUGUGUGUGUUAGUGGAAGCGUCUGGAAAGGCGUGCGAUACAGGGUGACAGCCCCGUACACAAAAAUGCACAUAUUGUGAGCUCGAUGAGUAGGGCGGGACACGUGGUAUCCUGUCUGAAUAUGGGGGGACCAUCCUCCAAGGCUAAAUACUCCUGACUGACCGAUAGUGAACCAGUACCGUGAGGGAAAGGCGAAAAGAACCCCGGCGAGGGGAGUGAAAAAGAACCUGAAACCGUGUACGUACAAGCAGUGGGAGCCUCUUUAUGGGGUGACUGCGUACCUUUUGUAUAAUGGGUCAGCGACUUAUAUUCUGUAGCAAGGUUAACCGAAUAGGGGAGCCGAAGGGAAACCGAGUCUUAACUGGGCGUUAAGUUGCAGGGUAUAGACCCGAAACCCGGUGAUCUAGCCAUGGGCAGGUUGAAGGUUGGGUAACACUAACUGGAGGACCGAACCGACUAAUGUUGAAAAAUUAGCGGAUGACUUGUGGCUGGGGGGGAAAGGCCAAUCAAACCGGGAGAUAGCUGGUUCUCCCCGAAAGCUAUUUAGGUAGCGCCUCGUGAAUUCAUCUCCGGGGGUAGAGCACUGUUUCGGCAAGGGGGUCAUCCCGACUUACCAACCCGAUGCAAACUGCGAAUACCGGAGAAUGUUAUCACGGGAGACACACGGCGGGUGCUAACGUCCGUCGUGAAGAGGGAAACAACCCAGACCGCCAGCUAAGGUCCCAAAGUCAUGGUUAAGUGGGAAACGAUGUGGGAAGGCCCAGACAGCCAGGAUGUUGGCUUAGAAGCAGCCAUCAUUUAAAGAAAGCGUAAUAGCUCACUGGUCGAGUCGGCCUGCGCGGAAGAUGUAACGGGGCUAAACCAUGCACCGAAGCUGCGGCAGCGACACUAUGUGUUGUUGGGUAGGGGAGCGUUCUGUAAGCCUGUGAAGGUGGCCUGUGAGGGUUGCUGGAGGUAUCAGAAGUGCGAAUGCUGACAUAAGUAACGAUAAAGCGGGUGAAAAGCCCGCUCGCCGGAAGACCAAGGGUUCCUGUCCAACGUUAAUCGGGGCAGGGUGAGUCGACCCCUAAGGCGAGGCCGAAAGGCGUAGUCGAUGGGAAACAGGUUAAUAUUCCUGUACUUGGUGUUACUGCGAAGGGGGGACGGAGAAGGCUAUGUUGGCCGGGCGACGGUUGUCCCGGUUUAAGCGUGUAGGCUGGUUUUCCAGGCAAAUCCGGAAAACCAAGGCUGAGGCGUGAUGACGAGGCACUACGGUGCUGAAGCGACAAAUGCCCUGCUUCCAGGAAAAGCCUCUAAGCAUCAGGUAACAUCAAAUCGUACCCCAAACCGACACAGGUGGUCAGGUAGAGAAUACCAAGGCGCUUGAGAGAACUCGGGUGAAGGAACUAGGCAAAAUGGUGCCGUAACUUCGGGAGAAGGCACGCUGAUAUGUAGGUGAAGCGACUUGCUCGUGGAGCUGAAAUCAGUCGAAGAUACCAGCUGGCUGCAACUGUUUAUUAAAAACACAGCACUGUGCAAACACGAAAGUGGACGUAUACGGUGUGACGCCUGCCCGGUGCCGGAAGGUUAAUUGAUGGGGUUAGCGGUAACGCGAAGCUCUUGAUCGAAGCCCCGGUAAACGGCGGCCGUAACUAUAACGGUCCUAAGGUAGCGAAAUUCCUUGUCGGGUAAGUUCCGACCUGCACGAAUGGCGUAAUGAUGGCCAGGCUGUCUCCACCCGAGACUCAGUGAAAUUGAACUCGCUGUGAAGAUGCAGUGUACCCGCGGCAAGACGGAAAGACCCCGUGAACCUUUACUAUAGCUUGACACUGAACAUUGAGCCUUGAUGUGUAGGAUAGGUGGGAGGCUUUGAAGUGUGGACGCCAGUCUGCAUGGAGCCGACCUUGAAAUACCACCCUUUAAUGUUUGAUGUUCUAACGUUGGCCCGUAAUCCGGGUUGCGGACAGUGUCUGGUGGGUAGUUUGACUGGGGCGGUCUCCUCCUAAAGAGUAACGGAGGAGCACGAAGGUUGGCUAAUCCUGGUCGGACAUCAGGAGGUUAGUGCAAUGGCAUAAGCCAGCUUGACUGCGAGCGUGACGGCGCGAGCAGGUGCGAAAGCAGGUCAUAGUGAUCCGGUGGUUCUGAAUGGAAGGGCCAUCGCUCAACGGAUAAAAGGUACUCCGGGGAUAACAGGCUGAUACCGCCCAAGAGUUCAUAUCGACGGCGGUGUUUGGCACCUCGAUGUCGGCUCAUCACAUCCUGGGGCUGAAGUAGGUCCCAAGGGUAUGGCUGUUCGCCAUUUAAAGUGGUACGCGAGCUGGGUUUAGAACGUCGUGAGACAGUUCGGUCCCUAUCUGCCGUGGGCGCUGGAGAACUGAGGGGGGCUGCUCCUAGUACGAGAGGACCGGAGUGGACGCAUCACUGGUGUUCGGGUUGUCAUGCCAAUGGCACUGCCCGGUAGCUAAAUGCGGAAGAGAUAAGUGCUGAAAGCAUCUAAGCACGAAACUUGCCCCGAGAUGAGUUCUCCCUGAGACUUAGAGUCUCCUGAAGGAACGUUGAAGACGACGACGUUGAUAGGCCGGGUGUGUAAGCGCAGCGAUGCGUUGAGCUAACCGGUACUAAUGAACCGUGAGGCUUAACCUU
rnacentral:rRNA from 1 species